AUGCAAGUCGAGCGGGCGAGGUUGCUUCGGUAACUGAGCUAGCGGCGGACGGGUGAGUAAAGCUUAGGAAUCUGCCUAUUAGUGGGGGACAACAUUUCGAAAGGGAUGCUAAUACCGCAUACGUCCUACGGGAGAAAGCAGGGGAUCACUUGUGACCUUGCGCUAAUAGAUGAGCCUAAGUCGGAUUAGCUAGUUGGUGGGGUUAAGGCCUACCAAGGCGACGAUCUGUAGCGGGUCUGAGAGGAUGAUCCGCCACACUGGGACUGAGACACGGCCCAGACUCCUACGGGAGGCAGCAGUGGGGAAUAUUGGACAAUGGGGGGAACCCUGAUCCAGCCAUGCCGCGUGUGUGAAGAAGGCCUUUUGGUUGUAAAGCACUUUAAGUGGGGAGGAGGCUCUCUUGGUUAAUACCUAAGAAGAGUGGACGUUACCCACAGAAUAAGCACCGGCUAACUCUGUGCCAGCAGCCGCGGUAAUACAGAGGGUGCGAGCGUUAAUCGGAUUUACUGGGCGUAAAGCGCGCGUAGGUGGUUAAUUAAGUCAAAUGUGAAAUCCCCGAGCUUAACUUGGGAAUUGCAUUCGAUACUGGUUAGCUAGAGUA
rnacentral:rRNA from 1 species